rnacentral:rRNA from 1 species
CAGUAGCCGCGGUAAUACGUAGGGUGCAAGCGUUAUCCGGAUUUAUUGGGUUUAAAGGGUCCGUAGGCGGAUCUGUAAGUCAGUGGUGAAAUCUCACAGCUUAACUGUGAAACUGCCAUUUAUACUGCAGGUCUUGAGUAAAUUUGAAGUGGCUGGAAUAAGUAGUGUAGCGGUGAAAUGCAUAGAUAUUACUUAGAACACCAAUUGCGAAGGCAGGUCACUAAGAUUUAACUGACGCUGAUGGACGAAAGCGUGGGGAGCGAACAGGAUUAGAUACCCCGGUAGUCCCUGUCUCUUAUAC